UACGUAGGGUGCGAGCGUUGUCCGGAAUUAUUGGGCGUAAAGAGCUUGUAGGCGGUUUGUCGCGUCUGCUGUGAAAUCUCAAGGCUCAACCUUGAGCUUGCAGUCGAUACGAGCAAACUAGAGUGUUGCAGGGGAGACUGGAAUUCCUGGUGUAGCGGUGAAAUGCGCAGAUAUCAGGAGGAACACCGGUGGCGAAGGCGGUUCUCUGGGCAUUACCUGACGCUGAGGAGCGAAAGUGUGGGGAGCGAACAGG
rnacentral:rRNA from 1 species